UGCUCCGCAAGAAGAGGCUCCAAGACAAAAGAAGAAAGUGCGUGCUCUAGGACUGGCUUGCCAUUUCCCAGGAGCUGGUACUAACCUUGGUCCACAGCCAGACCCCGGGUUGUUGACAACCAGGAUCCAGAGCCACGCUCUGGAGCCCUUGACAGACAAGGUCCAGUUUCAAAGCCUGGAGCUGGGGAUGACAAGGAUUCAGUUGGAGCAACCACCUAUAAAGUAUAAUAUGCUCAAGGCAGCUCCAGUUGAGGGUAAAAGAAUUCCUGAACAUCGUAUACAAAUCCACAGCGAUGAAGCUAAAGAUGAUGGUGAUAGAGUUGAUGAGAGCCUGGAACAACGUCCAAGAAAACGACGAGCUAAGACGGAUCGUCAACCUUCCUCACCUUAGAAUCCUUAGGAUGAAAAGCAAUAGCACUAUUGAAUAACAUCCAGAGCGGAAUUUGGCGGUAGCGAGAAUUUAUCUUACAAGACUUACACACACACUGAUGGAAUACUUAUUUGAAUACUAACAUUUCCUAUUUUGAAUCCUUGCCAUUCUACCUCAAACAACCGUUACAUAUAAGUGCAAUACUAAUUUACUAUGCAAACACUUACAAGUACUUAACUGUCAAUCAAUUAUGCAAUACAAGUCAGGUGUGUUUGUUUUCUUUUGGCCUAUAUUUUGAUGAAUUUGCUGGGACUUUGAAAUUGUAUAGUUCUUAUUAUAUCUUGCUUUCUUUUGUAUUACAAUAAUGCUGCAUUCAUCUUAACAGUAUUACCUCUCGGAACUAUGCAAUUUUUACAUGUUCUGUAUAUAUUAGUUAUAUUCUAUGCCAUUCUUUAUUUGUUAAUGGAUGGACAGAUGUUUAUAUCAUCUUAACUGAUUAUGAAAUGUAAUGCAUAAUGUUUAAUGUUUGCUUGAGGCCGUGGGCCGAUUUACGUUUUUGUUUUUGGGCCAAUGCACGAAAAUCCUCUGGCAAGACAUUAAUCUGUAUGUGUCUCUUUAUAGGUGUAGGAAAUGUUUACCCGGUACGAAGAAAUCUGAAUGUCAAAUUUUUGCUAGCCCGGCAAAAGGUGGGGUAAUGAUAAUAUUGUACAGCACUUAGAACCAUAAACGCUGUAUAUAUACUAUAAUGUGAUACUGUUUUACAGCUAAUACAUUAAAGCGCUUAGUAAUAUUUGUAUGAAGCGCUCUCUAAAUGUUACUACACAUUUACUAUCGAUAUUGUAAAUACCGUCUUUACAGCUUGUAAAAAAAUGCCUGUUCACUUCUAUAAACUUAG